rnacentral:rRNA from 1 species
GUCCUAGCCGUAAACGAUGUGGAUUAGGUGUUGGAGGUGUCGAUCCCCCCAGCGCCGACGCUAACGCAUUAAAUCCACCACCUGGGGAGUACGGUCGCAAGACUGAAACUCAAAGAAAUUGACGGGGACCCCGCACAAGCGGUGGAGCAUGUGGUUUAAUUCGAGGCUACGCGAAGAACCUUACCCAGGCUUGACAUGUAGUUGCCAGUCCUUGAAAGAGGAUCUUCUCGCAAGAGACGAUUACACAGGUGCUGCAUGGCUGUCGU